rnacentral:lncRNA from 1 species
ACCACAUCCCUCUGCCAUCGUUCUUGCUGCUUUCAAAGAGUCUGUUAUAAAAUAAGGAAUAAGGUGCCAUUUGGGACGCAUUCCAAGGUGUCUCCUCCGUCCUCUAACAUGUAGAAACAAGGUGUUGAGGAAAAUGUUCAGAUGGUCCUCUGAAGGAGAUGUGCUGUUUCCUCUGAGCAGGUUGGAGGAAGGAGGUAGCAUGGAGGAACUAGCCUGAUCGCUGCCCUCGCCCUUCUGUUUAACUGCACUUAUCCGUCUAGUCUUUAUCCAAUAGGUGUUUGGAAUACACCAUUUUAAAUGGUUGGUUGAAGAUGAUGCAAUCGCUGAUAAGUACGUUUUGAAUACUGCCUCUCGUUACAGACGUAGGCUCAAACUGAGGAAGGAAUACGAGACUGGUGCUUGAAGUGAAAUAGAAUGGUGAAUGCAGCGAUCAGGCUGGUUCCUCCAGGUUGGUGAAUGCAGCGAUCAGGCUGGUUCCUCCAGGUUGGUGAAUGCAGCGAUCAGGCUGGUUCCUCCAGGUUGGUGAAUGCAGC